AUGGUAGCGGAGCGUAGUGUGACAUAGUUCUACGCCUCCUUAGCAUCCUCCGGGAUGUAUUGGAGGCAGAGAACUUUCGAUGAAGCCGGGGCGUGAGCCAUCCGGUGGAGAGAUCACUAGUGAGAAUGAUGACAUGAGUAGCGACAAACAGGGUGAGAGACCCUGUCGCCGAAAGUCCAAGGGUUCCUGCUUAAAGCUAAUCUGAGCAGGGUAAGCCGACCCCUAAGGCGAGGCCGAAAGGCGUAGUCGAUGGGAACCAGGUUAAUAUUCCUGGGCCAGUUAGAAGUGACGGAUCUCGAAGGUAGUUCAUCCUUAUUGGAUUGAAUGGGCUGCUAAGAGGUUCCUGGAAAUAGCUCUAACAUAAGAUCGUACCCUAAACCGACACAGGUGGACUGGUAGAGAAUACCAAGGCGCUUGAGAGAACGAUGUUGAAGGAACUCGGCAAAAUACCUCCGUAAGUUCGCGAGAAGGAGGCCCGGUUUCUAGGCAACUGGAAGCUGGGGGCACAAACCAGGGGGUGGCGACUGUUUACUAAAAACACAGGGCUCUGCGAAGUCGCAAGACGACGUAUAGGGUCUGACGCCUGCCCGGUGCCUGAAGGUUAAAAGGAGGGGUGAGAGCUCCGAAUUGAAGCCCAGGUAAACGGCGGCCGUAACUAUAACGGUCCUAAGGUAGCGAAAUUCCUUGUCGGGUAAGUUCCGACCUGCACGAAUGGCGUAACGACUUCCCCGCUGUCUCCAACAUCGACUCAGCGAAAUUGAAUUGCCUGUCAAGAUGCAGGCUUCCCGCGGUUAGACGGAAAGACCCCGUGCACCUUUACUACAGCUUCACACUGGCAUCAGGCACAACAUGUGCAGGAUAGGUGGUAGACUUUGAAGCAGGAACGCUAGUUCCUGUGGAGUCAUCCUUGAGAUACCACCCUUGUUCUGCUUGAUGUCUAACCGCGGUCCGUUAUCCGGAUCCGGGACCCUGUGUGGCGGGUAGUUUGACUGGGGCGGUCGCCUCCUAAAUCGUAACGGAGGCGCGCGAAGGUUGGCUCAGAGCGGUCGGACAUCGCUCGUUGAGUGCAAUGGCAGAAGCCAGCCUGACUGCAAGACUGACAAGUCGAGCAGAGUCGAAAGACGGCCAUAGUGAUCCGGUGGUCCCAAGUGGGAGGGCCAUCGCUCAACGGAUAAAAGGUACGCCGGGGAUAACAGGCUGAUGGUGCCCAAGAGUCCAUAUCGACGGCACCGUUUGGCACCUCGAUGUCGGCUCAUCUCAUCCUGGGGCUGGAGCAGGUCCCAAGGGUACGGCUGUUCGCCGUUUAAAGAGGUACGUGAGCUGGGUUUAGAACGUCGUGAGACAGUUCGGUCCCUAUCUGCCGUGGGUGUAGGAUACUUGAGAGGAGUUGCCCCUAGUACGAGAGGACCGGGGUGAACGUUCCACUGGUGGACCAGUUGUCAUGCCAAUGGCAGUGCUGGGUAGCUAUGAACGGACAGGAUAACCGCUGAAGGCAUCUAAGCGGGAAGCCCCCCUCAAAACAAGGUAUCCCUGAGAACCGAGGUAGACCACCUCGUCGAUAGGCCAGAGAUGUAAGCGCAGCAAUGCGUUCAGUUGACUGGUACUAAUUGUUCGAUAGGCUUGAUUUGAUCCAG
rnacentral:rRNA from 1 species